rnacentral:rRNA from 1 species
GACGAACGCUGGCGGCGCGCCUAACACAUGCAAGUCGAACGAGAGAUGAGGAGCUUGCUCUUCAAAUCGAGUGGCGAACGGGUGAGUAACGCGUGAGGAACCUGCCUCAAAGAGGGGGACAACAGUUGGAAACGACUGCUAAUACCGCAUAAGCCCACGGCUCGGCAUCGAGCAGAGGGAAAAGGAGCAAUCCGCUUUGAGAUGGCCUCGCGUCCGAUUAGCUAGUUGGUGAGGUAACGGCCCACCAAGGCGACGAUCGGUAGCCGGACUGAGAGGUUGAACGGCCACAUUGGGACUGAGACACGGCCCAGACUCCUACGGGAGGCAGCAGUGGGGAAUAUUGCACAAUGGGGGAAACCCUGAUGCAGCGACGCCGCGUGGAGGAAGAAGGUCUUCGGAUUGUAAACUCCUGUUGUUGAGGAAGAUAAUGACGGUACUCAACAAGGAAGUGACGGCUAACUACGUGCCAGCAGCCGCGGUAAAACGUAGGUCACAAGCGUUGUCCGGAAUUACUGGGUGUAAAGGGAGCGCAGGCGGGAGAACAAGUUGGAAGUGAAAUCCAUGGGCUCAACCCAUGAACUGCUUUCAAAACUGUUUUUCUUGAGUAGUGCAGAGGUAGGCGGAAUUCCCGGUGUAGCGGUGGAAUGCGUAGAUAUCGGGAGGAACACCAGUGGCGAAGGCGGCCUACUGGGCACCAACUGACGCUGAGGCUCGAAAGUGUGGGUAGCAAACAGGAUUAGAUACCCUGGUAGUCCACACCGUAAACGAUGAUUACUAGGUGUUGGAGGAUUGACCCCUUCAGUGCCGCAGUUAACACAAUAAGUAAUCCACCUAGGGAGUACGACCGCAAGGUUGAAACUCAAAGGAAUUGACGGGGGCCCGCACAAGCAGUGGAGUAUGUGGUUUAAUUCGACGCAACGCGAAGAACCUUACCAAGUCUUGACAUCCUGCGACGCACAUAGAAAUAUGUGUUUCCUUCGGGACGCAGAGACAGGUGGUGCAUGGUUGUCGUCAGCUCGUGUCGUGAGAUGUUGGGUUAAGUCCCGCAACGAGCGCAACCCUUAUGGUCAGUUACUACGCAAGAGGACUCUGGCCAGACUGCCGUUGACAAAACGGAGGAAGGUGGGGAUGACGUCAAAUCAUCAUGCCCUUUAUGACUUGGGCUACACACGUACUACAAUGGCGUUAAACAAAGAGAAGCAAGACCGCGAGGUGGAGCAAAACUCAGAAACAACGUCCCAGUUCGGACUGCAGGCUGCAACUCGCCUGCACGAAGUCGGAAUUGCUAGUAAUCGUGGAUCAGCAUGCCACGGUGAAUACGUUCCCGGGCCU